AACGAACGCUGGCGGCAUGCCUAACACAUGCCAGUCGAACGGGACCUCCGGAUCAAGUUGCGCACGGGUGUGUAACGCGUGGGAAGGUGCCCUAAGACUCGGAAAAAUACCCCGUAAUGGGGGCUAAUACCGGGAAAUUUCCGCUGAUAAAAGAUUUGACGUCUUUGUAUGGGCCGGAGUUGGAUUAGCUGGUUGGUAGGGUAAGAGCCUACCAAGGCGACGAUCCAUAGCUGGUUUGAGAGGAUGAGCCGCCACACCGGGACUGGGACGCGGCCCAGACUACUACAGGAGGCAGGAGUGGCGAAUAUUGGACUAUCGGCGAGAGCCUGAUCGAGCUAUGCCGGUUGAGUGAUUAUGUCCUUAGAGAUGUAAAGCUCUUUUACCCGGGGUGGUAAUGACGGUACCGGGAGAAUAAGCUCCGGCUAACUCCGUG
rnacentral:rRNA from 1 species